rnacentral:piRNA from 1 species
UCAGUCACAGGAAAGGAAUGGAAACUGCA